rnacentral:rRNA from 1 species
UGGGGAAUCUUGCACAAUGGGCGAAAGCCUGAUGCAGCGACGCCGCGUGGGGGAUGAAGCAUUUCGGUGUGUAAACCCCUUUCGACCCGGAAGAAUGCCUCGCAAGAGGACUGACGGUACGGGUAUAAGAAGCCCCGGCUAACUACGUGCCAGCAGCCGCGGUAAGACGUAGGGGGCCAGCGUUGUUCGGAAUUACUGGGUGUAAAGGGUUCGUAGGCGGUGUGGCAAGUUGGGAGUGAAAUCUCUGGGCUCAACCCAGAGGCUGCUUCCAAAACUGCUGUGCUUGAGUGUGGGAGAGGCGCGUGGAAUUGCAGGUGUAGCGGUGAAAUGCGUAGAUAUCUGCAGGAACACCCGUGGCGAAAGCGGCGCGCUGGACCACAACUGACGCUGAGGAACGAAAGCUAGGGGAGCAAACAGGAUUAGAUACCCCGGUAGUCC